UAGCUGUAGAUGCUCUAAACAUGCAGUCGACGGGGGUAGUGAUACCCCAGUGGCGGACGGGUGAGUAACGCGUAGGAAUCUGCCUGGUAGAGGGGGACAACCUGGGGAAACCCAGGCUAAUACCGCAUGAGCUCGCGAGAGGAAAGCGGGGGACCUUCGGGCCUCGCGCUACCGGAUGAGCCUACGUCCGAUUAGCUGGUUGGUGGGGUAACGGCCCACCAAGGCGACGAUCGGUAGCUGGUCUGAGAGGACGAUCAGCCACACUGGGACUGAGACACGGCCCAGACUCCUACGGGAGGCAGCAGUGGGGAAUAUUGGACAAUGGGCGCAAGCCUGAUCCAGCAAUGCCGCGUGGGUGAAGACGGCCUGCGGGUUGUAAAGCCCUUUGGGUGGGGAAGAACGGUGGUUUGCGAACAGCGGACUGCUCUGACAUUACCCACGGAACAAGCACCGGCUAACUCCGUGCCAGCAGCCGCGGUAAUACGGAGGGUGCGAGCGUUAAUCGGAAUUACUGGGCGUAAAGCGUGCGUAGGCGGAAGGGUCAGUCAGCCGUGAAAGCCCCGGGCUCAACCUGGGAACGGCGGUUGAGACGGCCCGUCUGGAGUGGGCUAGAGGACUGUGGAACUCCCGGUGUAGCGGUGAAAUGCGUAGAGAUCGGGAAGAACACCGAUGGCGAAGGCAGCGGUCUGGGGCCACACUGACGCUGAGGCACGAAAGCGUGGGGAGCAAACAGGAUUAGAUACCCUGUAGUCCACGCGGUAAACGAUGAGCACUAGACGCCGGUGGGGUGACCUGUCGGUGUCGCAGCUAACGCGCUAAGUGCUCCGCCUGGGGAGUACGGCCGCAAGGUUG
rnacentral:rRNA from 1 species